rnacentral:rRNA from 1 species
AGCAGCCGCGGUAAUUCCAGCUCCAAUAGCGUAUAUUAAAGUUGUUGCAGUUAAAAAGCUCGUAGUUGAAUUUCGGGAUUGACGUGAUGGUCAUGCCUUAAGGGGUAUGAACUGUUACUGUUGAUUUCUCACCUUCUGGAGAAACUUGAUGUCCUUUAUUGGGUAUCUUGCGGAUCCAGGACCUUUACCUUGAAAAAUUAGAGUUGUUUAAAGCAGGCAUUUUUGCUCGAAUACAUUAGCAUGGAAUAAUAGAAUAGGACGGCAUGGUUCUAUUUUGUUGGUUUCUAGGAUCACCGUAAUGAUUAAUAGGGAUAGUUGGGGGCAUUAGUAUUCAAUUGUCAGAGGUGAAAUUCUUGGAUUUAUUGAAGACUAACUACUGCGAAAGCAUUUGCCAAGGAUGUUUUCAUUAAUCAAGAACGAAAGUUAGGGGAUCGAAGACGAUCAGAUACCGUCGUAGUCUUAACCAUAAACUAU